rnacentral:lncRNA from 1 species
AUGCCCAGAUGGUCUCGAACUCCUGUGCGCAAGCGAUCCUCCCGCCUCAGCCUCCCAAAGUGCUGGGAUUACAGACUUACUCCUGCUUCCACCAGGAGUACAUGGAAAUUGAAAAGAGAGAAUUUAUGUUUUUUUGCCUUAAAUGAGAAAAACAGAAGGUAGAUCUCCCAAGGCAGAACAUCUGUAAUGAUAGAGCAGUAAGGAAUAUGAGGAGGGAAACAUGAGCAUGUUUGCAUAAACAUUUAGAUUUUUCUGGGCUUGCCCAAUCCCAGUCUUUUGGAGUCUGUCUUUUAUGAGGGCAACCGUGGUUUAAGAGUGAGCAAAUGUUAGUUCAUGUAAUUAAAACCCGUUGAAUUGAACAGGAAACAUUCACGGGAAAUCUGCAGGUGUCUGCAAGCAAGAGUGACGCUAGAAGGAUCUUAGUAUGCCAGCUCCCUCUUCCUCAAGGGUAGUGUCCCUGGAAUGAAGCCACCAGCAACAGGAGAGGAAACAGAUGGGGUUGUAGAAAGUAGGAGCAGCAAAAGCUUCUGAACUUAGUAAUAAGCUGCUUGCCCCGGGGUGAGUAUAAAAGGCAUCUGGGGUAUUUGCUUUUUUGUUUAUUGGAGGAAGAAAGGUGUCUCGCAACAUUUCUCUCUCUCCCCUUCCUCUCUCUCUCAAAUUUAUUCAGGAUAUGAAAUUUCUAAGGCUACUGCCAUCUUAGGGUUUGAAUCUCUUUUCAGCUUCAUUCACACAUAUUAAAGAGAGACAGUUCCAGUAUGACUUAAGAAAGAAAAGCCAGGCUGAUUUCCAAGAUGCAGUGUUGUGCCACGGAUGAGUUUUCUUCCUGGAGUGAGCUAUUUGAGUUUCAUUUUUCUUACCACCUUUUAGCCUCUUCAUUCCAAGGCCUGGACACUUCAGGCAGAGAAGCCCUCAUCCUGGGUGUCGGGGUGGGAGGUGUUCUCAUCAUGAAUGGGAGGCGUACCCAGAUCCAGCUCUGCCUUUUUUUAACCAAACCAGAGUGUAAACAAAUGGCUGUGUGACUCACCAUAAUCGACAUAGCAAGAUAUGAUACAUGCCAGGAGAGAAAAAGAAAGUGCUGAUGGAAAAAUAAUCUCAUUAGGGAGAUUUGUUUGUGGUGAUUUAUUUUAUUUUAUGUUAUUUUAUUUUUUUGAGAUGGAGUAUCCCUCUGUCAUCCAGGCUGGAGUGCAGUGGCGCGAUUUCCACCUCCAAGAUUCAAGUGAUUCUCCAGCCUCUGCCUCCCAAGUAGCUGGGAUUCUUGGAGCCCACCAACACACCUGGCCAAGUUUUGUAUUUUCAGUAGAGAUGAGGGUCUCAUGAUGUUGGCCAGGCUGGUCUCAAACUCCUGACCUCAAGUGAUCUGCCUGCCUUGACCUCCCUAAGUGCUGGGAUUACAGGAGUGAGCCACCACGCCUGGUCUGUGGUGACAUUUGAAAUGAAUCUGAAAAAUGAGUAGAACAUUAACAGAUGGAAAAGACCGUCACUGUAUUAUUACAGUAUUAAUGCUCAGUAAUAUCUGUAUCUAACAAUACCAUGGAGCUUUUGUGGGGCCUGGUCUUAGAAUAUGCUUUUGCUGGCAGGUGCACCUCGAUUAUCCUUUGGAGACCACCUUACUCUUUGUUUUUGUUUUUGUUUUUGAGAUGAAGCGCCUCGGCUUCCCGAGUAGCUGGGAUUACAGGCGCCCGCCACCAUGCCCAGCUAAUAUUUUGUAUUUUUAGUAGAGAUGGGGUUUCACUACGUUGGCCAGGCUGGAACCUUACUCCUACUCUCCACCUAGGAAGUGUGAGUGAGGCUGGCUCUGCCCCAGGCUCCUGGUGAGGCAUGCAACCCAGACUGGCCAAUAAAAGAACCACAUGUCCUUAGCAUAGUGAAUUGGCUCAGGGUGGGAGAGUGACCCAAGUUGGGCUAGUCCUGGAGCUUUUGCUGGAACAAUUAGGGAAAAGGAUUCCUCUUUUUUUUUUUUAUUUUGAGACAGUGCCUUGUUUUGUCGUCCAGGCUGGAGUGCAGUGGCACAAUCU